CCUACGGGUGGCAGCAGUGAGGAAUAUUGGUCAAUGGACGAGAGUCUGAAGCAGCCAAGUAGCGUGAAGGAUGAAUGCCCUAUGGGUUGUAAACAUCUUUUGUAAAGGAGAAAAAGGAGAGGCGUGUGACGUUUUGCAUGUACGUGAGGAAGAAGGAUAGGCUAACUCCGUGCCAGCAGCCGCGGUACUACGGAGGAGACGAGCGUUAGUAGGAUUUAGUGGGGUUAAAGGGAGCGUAGUCGGGUGGUUAAGUCAGUUGUGAAAGUUUGCUGCUUAACCCGAAAAUUGCAACUGAUACUGGCAGUCUUGAGUCUUGUUGAGGUAGGUGGAAUUCGUUGUGUAGCGGUGAAAUGCUUAGAUAUCUCGAAGAACCCCGAUUGCGAAGGCAGCCUACUAGACUGUGACUGACACUCAUGCUCGAAAGUGUGGGUAUCAAACAGGAUUAGAUACCCUUGUAGUC
rnacentral:rRNA from 1 species